rnacentral:rRNA from 1 species
CUACAGCCAUACCACCCUGAACGCACCCAAUCUUGCCUGGUCUCGGAAGGUAGGAAGCUAAGCGGGGUCGGGCGUGGUUAGUACUUGGAUCAGAGAAGUUAGCUAGGUGAAUAGC